GGUGGCAAAUGUUCUUCCACUGUGACAGAUGAGAAGGGCUUCCCAUGGCCCACCACCUCCAGGCCAUCGAUAUCCUAAGAGGAGUAGAGAGAGGGAAUAUGAGCUGGCUGUCAGAUGCAUGUUGAAAUGGUAGAACGGCUCUAAGUGAGAUGCACUUUAGCAUGGUUUAUUGAACUCCAUAUAUGAAGACUAUUACUCCAACAUGCAAUCAACAUAAAAAUGACUACUAAAAUAAUUUUUUCUCCCCAAA